rnacentral:rRNA from 1 species
GUAGGUGGCAAGCGUUGUCCGGAUUUACUGGGCGUAAAGGGCGUGCAGGCGGUCUGUUAAGUUCAGGGUGAAAGCUCCCGGCUCAACUGGGAGAGGUCCUUGGAUACUGGCAGACUUGAGGGAGGUAGAGGAGAGUGGAAUUCCCGGUGUAGUGGUGAUAUGCGUAGAUAUCGGGAGGAACACCAGUGGCGAAGGCGGCUCUCUGGGCCUUUCCUGACGCUGAGACGCGAAAGCGUGGGGAGCGAACCGGAUUAGAUACCCGGGUAGUCCACGCCGUAAACUAUGAACACUAGGUGUGGGGGGUAUCGACCCCCUCCGUGCCGAAGCUAACGCAAUAAGUGUUCCGCCUGGGGAGUACGGCCGCAAGGCUA